AGAGGACCGGAGUGGACGCAUCACUGGUGUUCGGGUUGUCAUGCCAAUGGCACUGCCCGGUAGCUAAAUGCGGAAGAGAUAAGUGCUGAAAGCAUCUAAGCACGAAACUUGCCCCGAGAUGAGUUCUCCCUGAGACUUUAAGUCUCCUGAAGGAACGUUGAAGACGACGACGUUGAUAGGCCGGGUGUGUAAGCGCAGCGAUGCGUUGAGCUAACCGGUACUAAUGAACCGUGAGGCUUAACCUU
rnacentral:rRNA from 1 species